CAGAUUCUGUUUUGCAAAAGCAGCUUGUUAUGGUACAUUGUAUUCUGUGUUUUAGUAUAAUUUCUCUUUAUUUUGAAACACAAAUGUGUAAUACAAAUCCCAUGUGUGGCAAUCUUCUGUCCGCUAGAUGAAUGAAUGAGCUCAGGUAGUACCUCAUUAGUCAUUCACAAAUAACACAAGCACACACACACAUUUCCAGAAUGCCUCAUCACACAAUGCAUUCCCCCCAACCAAUCUCUCUCUUCUCUCCCUCUCCUUUCCUCUCGCCCUCAUCUCCCCUCCCACUCUGUGCUAGUGUGUGAGUAGCUCUCUCUCAGUCUACCCCUCGCAGGCACGCACUCUGUCAGUGGAGGAGAUGGUUUCUGAACCCAGCUGUAGCUGAAAGUGAUCGCCUCCUUGGGCAUAUCCAUCUAAGAGGAUUGUGCCCUUUUUCUGCUCGUACCACUUUUAUUCAUUGUUCUGAACCUGUAGGAUUUUCCUUAUCUGCCACUCAGGUUUGCGAUAUAGUGAGUGUUCCGCUGAAGAAUAACUGAAGUUUUUCUUUCAUGGAUGAAGCACCUGCCUAUGACUUAUUUGCGCUUUUUGUAUUGACGUGAUCAGUGUGUCCUAUCACACAUGGCACAGCUUAAGUAAUACAUUUUUUGUCUACUGGAUUUGUUUAAUUUUGCCAUACAAGGAUUUCUAGCUGACAACGUGGUAGGAAUCCAGGAGUAAACUCUUAGGAGAAACCAUGAGUUGGACUCAUUAUAAAUGCUAAACGUCUGUUUGCUUGGAGCUACGCCAUCUGAGGAAUCCAAUCAAGAGAUGACCACUGUGUCAAUGGACCCCAUUGUGGCGAUGCUGGAGAAGGUUUCCAAUGUCACUGAGGUUCCAGCAGAAGCUUCUACUGAAGACAUGGCUGCCACCUUCACCAUUGGCACCAUCCUGUCCCUAAUGUGUCUGGUGGGUGUGUCUGGAAAUAUCUACACUCUCGUGGUCAUGUGCCACUCCAUGCGCACGGCUGCCUCUAUGUACAUCUACAUCAUCAACCUGGCACUAGCUGAUCUGCUUUACUUACUUACGAUUCCAUUUGUGGUGUGCACACAUUUCUUGAAGGGCUGGUACUUUGGAGACGCUGGAUGUCGGAUCCUCAUCAGCAUGGACUUCCUAACAAUGCAUGCCAGCAUUUUUACCCUGACUGUCAUGAGCACAGAACGUUACUUUGCCGUCCUUAAGCCUCUAGAUACAGUCAAACGCUCUAAGAGCUACCGAAAAGCAAUCGCCUUCUUGGUGUGGACGGCCUCGUUGAUUCUCACCUUACCCAUGAUCAUCAGCGUCCAGCUGAUGACGGAAAGCUCCAAGCCAAUGUGCCAACCCACCUUGAGCCCUCUCUCAUAUAAAAUUUACAUCUCCUUUCUCUUUGGCACCAGCAUCGUGGCUCCAGGGGUGAUAAUUGGGUACCUGUACAUAUGCCUGGCACGAACCUACUGGAUUUCCCAAACGGAAACGUUCAAGCAGACCAAGAAGCUCCCAAACCAGAAGGUGCUAUAUCUGAUCUUCACUAUCGUGCUCCUGUUCUGGGCCUGCUUCCUGCCUUUCUGGAUCUGGCAGCUUCUAGGUCAGUUUAGGCCUGAGCUGGAUCUCUCCACCAAGGCCAAGCGUAACAUUAACUAUCUGACCACCUGUCUGACCUACAGCAACAGUUGCAUCAAUCCGUUUCUCUACACCCUGCUCACCAAGAACUACAAGGAGUACCUCCGCAAGAGACAGAGGACGUGGACGGCUGGCAGCUACCUCAACCGAUGGAACCGCUUUCAGCGUUCGCCCCGACGUUCCUUGUCCUCUAGCAGCCAGCAGUGCACGGAGAGCUUUGUUCUCGCGCAUACUUCUCGCACCAACAACAGCAGCCUCUGAGGCCACAUGACCCAUGUUUAGGAAGUGAUGGACAUUGCCAGAAGGAAGACCUGAGUGUCCUUGCAGUUCUAAAAAUAGCCUGUCCUCUACAGCAGCCUCUGUACACAGUCCUGCAAUGUAUUUGGGAUAGAUGACUGUCUGGGGCAAGACAAGAGCAAAGAAAGCCAAGACGACUGGUAUUUCCCUCCUCCAAACAGAAGAGGGAGAGCAAAGGAGGAAUACAGCGGGCAAGAGAUGAAAAGCAAGUCACUGCAUGAGGAGUAUCCCCAUGUGAAGAGGCCAAUGUAGGGUUGGAGUCAACUCCAUCUCACCUGUUGAUUCGUUUUUCAUUCUUGGAUGACUUUCAAGAGGGAAAAACCAAUUUCCAGUUCAUCGGCUUAUUAUCACUGUGAACUGGGGAUAUUUUUUUAUUUAUUUAUUUUUUUGAUCAUCCGUCAAACUUUGUCAUCAAGGACCAAAUUUCAAAGCAGGGCGAUAACCAAAAGAAAAAUGUCACAACUUGUAUCUCCACUUUCCCAAGUGACUCAACUUGAUGAGAGUCAUUUCCUUCAAAUAACUGCAAUAGUAGCUAUCAGAAUCCUUCCGAACAUAACUCCUGCAAAAGAUGACAUCAAAAAGGAGGUGUAUUUCCUAGUACGAAAUCUGUUUCUCUCAUAUUUAUGAAAGAGUCUUGCUCUAUUUGAUCUCAUGGGCCGCGUUUGACAUGAAGCUGUUCUAUUUGAUUUGUCUUUGAUGAUUUGAUGAUCUUCAUUGUAGGGUACUAAGCAGCAAUGCAGCCAUGGAAAGUCUUCCAGAACACUGUGGGAAGGACUUCCGAGGACCCUUUUAUUUUUCAGAAUGCUGUAUUCCAUUCCCCGGGCCUGUCAAAUGGGUUCUCUCUGAUCAGUGAGGAUUCUGUCUACUCCAUCCUAUUUCCUUGAGGCCGACAAGACUGGAGGUUUUACGUUGACCUCAGACUGACCUGAGAGCUGUUUCUCCAAACAACAAUACAGAGGAUGCUUGGCUUUGAUCUCAAAUGAGUUGGACAUUUAUACUUUUCAUACUGACAAGUCAGUACCCAUCCAUAUGGAGGGUCCGUACAGAUACAGGGUACACACAAUGUGCACAAAAUGAGCAUUGCAGAGUGAAACUGACCAACUUAGAAACUUCAACUUCAUGACUCCAAAGGAACAGAUUAAUUAUCUUAAUGCACAAUGGUGAAAUGUCGCUUAUUGUUGGACUCUGUAUUUCUUUUACACAAAACAUAAAUAGGAAAGUACUGCCCAAAGUCUGUAUGUUGCUUUGGUUUGUUGAAUCUGAGGAAUGCCUUUUUUGUUUUUUGUACAGAGAGCUCAAAUAUACUUGGUAACACGUUAUAAUAAGGGUCAAGUUGUUAAAAGUGUUUCACAAUUCGCAUAAGGGAUGCAUUAACUAUCAUAAACUACUGAUAAACAUAAUGUAUUUAUUAAUCUAAAUUAAUGCUAAUUUAAUUAUAAAACUAUCACAUACAGUUGUCAUUACGUUGCAACAUGUUAGAAUUUAACAUCAAACUAUAUUAAUAAAUGCUGUAAAAAUACUGUUCAUUGUUAGCUCAUGAUACCAAUGCAUUAACUAAUGUUGACAGAUUAUUGUAAAGUGUUACCAUGUACUUAACGUCCGUGUUGUAUUUUAUAUUAAAUUUUUAUGGGCAGAUUGCUUGUUGUAAAUAUUACAGCUAUAUGUUAUUUAAAUUUUUGCCUACAUCUUUGUUUACAUUAAAGCUAAGGGCAAUCAAAGAUCAGGUGAAGUAGUAAAACGUGUAUUAUAUGAAAUAUUUAAAAAAAAGAAAGAAAGAAAAAAAAAUAUUUUUGCACCUAUUGCAACAUGACACACAAAAAGAAAAAAAAAAGAAAAAUCAGUAAAUCAGAGGUAGAUGCUUUCCACAAAGCAAGUGAAUUCAUAGCUCCAAGGUUGCAUUUUAUACCUCAAGGGAGAAUAAGUUGGUUCCAAAUGACUAAAACAGUACACGUUUUUGACUGCUGUGUAAGAAGUUAAUUUAUUUCUAAUAUAAACUUUGUAAUGGACAUGCUUUCGGGAUGAUGAUUUAAUGUGCAAAAACAAACAACCAGAGGCAAUUAAAAAUGCAAAGCAUGAAUGCAAAAACAAUGUUAUUUUUGAAGCCGUUUGGUUGAGGCCUACACAGAUAUUUCGAUAAUAUGGUUUUUCUUAGUCUUUGUUUUGCUAUUGUGAUGUGGUGAUGCUGUUUUUCCACAUUUGUCACUAUUUAGUCUAUGUGCAAUUGCAUAAUUUCUCACUGUAGUUUAUUUAAAAGACCCAAUGAUGCUUGCUGAGCAAUGUAACUUACAUGCACUCAAUAAACAUGUUCAGUAAACAGCG